rnacentral:lncRNA from 1 species
GUAAGCUCACACCUACCGACUUAACUUCGCAGACCCCGCUGGAGCCGUGAACCGUCGCCCUUGGGCGCUCCCCGGUGCACGCUGGGAUGCGUCUGGCGCCCCUCGGUGCGCUGCAGAGCAUGCCGGGAAAGCCACCUCUGUCCAGCCCUUGGCUCGUUCGUACCUGUUGAACGUUCCUCCUGAGUCCCCUUGAGUGCUUCGCCCUUGGGCUCCGAAUGAGACGGUUUGGGCAACUAUGGAAGUGUACUGGCGCUUUCGGUCCCUCCUCCCCAUGCGCUGGAUCGCUGUAGUCUUGGGGAAACAACCUUUCUCUGGGGAGUGAGCCUUUCCUUGGUGCCUGCUGAGUAACUUGGUGACUAUAGCGGAAAAUUAGCAAAGGUGUUUACCACAGGUUUGAUCCCCGGUACAGAAGAAGGAAGAGGAGCAGGAGGAGGAGGAGGAAGAAAAAGAAGAGAAGGAGAGCCAGGGAAGAGGAAGGGGUAGGAAGAAAGAAGAGCAAGAGGAAACAAAAACCCAAACAGCCACCUGCAAGAGCAGAGCUGCCAGACCAGUGCCAGCCCCUACUUGCCAGCCAUGUGAGUCAAGCUAUUCCUCCGAAGCCAAAGAAAGCAGAGACAAUGGGUUCCACUACACCAUGACCAAAGUGCACUAACAUGAGCAAGCACUGUAGUAGAGCCAGAAUAUAAUAGGAAGGACUUAUGGCCAGGCAUGGUGGUGCAUGCCUAUAAUCCCAGCCCUCAGGAGGCUGAGGCAGGAAGAUCCCCACAAAUUCAAGGCCAG